rnacentral:lncRNA from 1 species
AAGUGACAUUAUUAUAUAGGAAAACUAAUGAAAAUAGUUUGAAAACAUUGACUUUUAAUAUAAAAUACAUAAAGGUGUUGUAAGUGAAUAGUACAUGUUGACCCUAAAAACUACCAAGCCUACGUGGCGCGCAGGCCGAGUAACUAAUAAGCUAACUACGCCAUUCGGUUGUUUGUGGGGCAUGUCAACUCAUCGGCCGAGCUUGGCCGAGGAGUAAAGUGUGUUGAUGUUGCGUUGAGCGUGCUGCUGACUUCUUGAUCUCAUGACUAUGGUCAAGGAAGGAACACGUCUCGGCCUUCGGGUUCUAGAGCCUGAAGACAACGCUACUAGUUCUGCGAAGUUUAUUAUCAAAAUCGGCUUUCAAUGUGCCGAAUGUAAUAACUUGUAACAUCUCACUUCGCCGAAAAGGCUAAUGAGAUGACCUCUGCCAAUAAGGAUUCGAAAAUCCUUCUUGACCGAGACUUAGAUAGAUAACCAAUCGGUCUCGACGCAGUGAUGUUCAUCCAAAUUGAAGGUGCUCCGCGGUUGGCUGAUUCUAUAGCAACAGUGAUGUUUAUCCAAACUGAAGAUGUUCCCUGGUUGCCUUCGCAAUGCUGUUUAUCCAAACUAAAGAUGUGUUGGCGAAAAAGAAAAUAAAAAAUCUCAAGAUGUUUGACAGGUUUCGCGUAGAGCGAGGGUUUGCGCAGAGCAGUUUGUGUGUUGAGUUGGAGAUCCUUUUUCGUUGCCAUUGCAUCUAUAUUUAUAGGACUAAAGUACUUGCUUUGCAUGGUAAGAUAAUGUUGCAGAGUUUAAUUGCCACUCUAAUUCCUGAAGUUGAUUUGCAUCAGAAACCAAAAACCAGGGCAUAUCCUUCAACUUGAGCCGUGGGAUUUGUUUCAAGACUUUUCAAACCUAAUAAAAGUCCAUCUAGGCUUAUCACAUCACAUUUCUAGCCCACCUAGGCUUCUCAUCUCAUCACCAAAACUCCAUCAGUAGCCUUUAUCCUAUGCAUGCAUAAUAAAAUGAAAUAUAAUCCCAUCAUGCAUGCCUUAUUAUCUGAUACUUUAAAGACCAUCUUCCAUCAAACACAUGGCAUCCAAUUCUUGCACGGCAUCAGUCAAUCACCCAUUCAAUCUCAUAUGUAUCUCCUCAUAGUCUUUAUCUGACCAACAUUUAAUUUGCACGCAAAUUGUUGCUUAACCAGAUAAGAGUCUCAAUGCUUGAGAUAUAGUUUGCAUCCCAUUUAUCUAAUAUAAAAACAAUUCUUUACUAAAAGAUAAUUAUUAUGAUAAAACCAUAAUAAUAUCUUUUAAUAACAAAAUUAUCUUCACCUUUUCAUUCGUCGGUCUGGCACUAUGCUCAACCAAUAGCCUCGAUUGCAUGGGUCGAUGAUGUAAAUUUAGGUCCAAACAUUACCCCUAGGUCAUUCGGUUGUUUACAGGGCGUGCUAACUCGUCGGUCGAGCUCGGCCGAGGAGUAAAAUGUGUUGAUGUCGGGUUGAGCGCGAGGCUGACUUCUCGAUCUUGCGACUGCGGCCGAGGAAGAAACACGUCUUGACUUUCAGGUUUUAGAGCUUGAAGACAAAGCUACUAAUUCUACAAGUUCACAAAUCGUCGGCGCCAGAUUCGGUCACGGUGAUUAUGUUCGUGAGAGUAUAAACACGCCAAAUCGACACUAGAGUAUAGGGACACAAAUACUCAAAACAAAUGUACGUCUUGAUUGCGAAAGUGGUUCGGCCGUUAGAAUGUCAAACUCUAAAAUCUACUUGCGAAUAACCGAUCAUAAACAACUCGGCGUUCAAUGUGCCGAAUGUAACUUGUAACACCUCACUUCAUCAAAAAGGUUAAUGAGAUGACCUUUGCCAAUAAGGAUUCGAAAAUCCUUCUCGACCGAGACUUGGAUAGAUAACUAGUCGGCCCUGUCGCAGUGUUGUUUAUCCAAACUGAAGGUGCUUCACAGUCAACUGAUUCUACGACAACAGUGUUGUUUAUCCAAAUUGAAGAUGUUCGCCAGUUGCCUUCAUAGUGUUGUUUAUCCAAAAUGAAGAUGUGUUGGUGAAAAAGGAAAACAAAGAUCUCAAGGUUGUUGAGAGGUUUCGCGUAGAGCGAGGGUUUGCGUAGGGCAAUUUGUG